rnacentral:rRNA from 1 species
AGUGAACGCUGGCGGCAGGCCUAACACAUGCAAGUCGAACGGCAGCGGGUCAGUAGCAAUACUGAUGCCGGCGAGUGGCGGACGGGUGAGGAAUACAUCGGAAUCUACCUUGUCGUGGGGGAUAACGUAGGGAAACUUACGCUAAUACCGCAUACGAACUAUGGUUGAAAGCGGCGGACCGCAAGGCGUCGCGCGAUUGGAUGAGCCGAUGUCCGAUUAGCUAGUUGGCGGGGUAAAGGCCCACCAAGGCGACGAUCGGUAGCUGGUCUGAGAGGAUGAUCAGCCACACUGGGACUGAGACACGGCCCAGACUCCUACGGGAGGCAGCAGUGGGGAAUAUUGGACAAUGGGCGAAAGCCUGAUCCAGCAAUGCCGCGUGAGUGAUGAAGGCCUUAGGGGUUGUUAAGGCUCUUUUACCCGGGAUGAUAAUGACAGUACCGGGAGAAUAAG